AUGUAAGUGGUGAGAAAUUUUAUUUUUUAACAUACAUAUCUCAUAAUUUAUAUAGUGACACGUGGUGUAUUAUUCCGUAUGCCGAUCACACUGAAAAAUCUCUCCACCAUGAGUUACGACUUACAGCAAUCAACUGAGCUGUGUUCCUAUAAAAGUACGAACUCGUAAUGAAGAUGCACCUUAACCUGAAAUUGGUAAUGCAUGCAUGCUUUUCAUUGUAUUUUUUUUUUAAAACGCUUUUCAUUGUAAUUGGAUGGUAUGAUUGGGUGGGCAGGCCACUUCAAUUUUUGUGGCCUUUACAACUUCAAGCAACUAUUUGAGUUUAGAGGUCCCCUCUAUUUCGUUGAUCCUGCAAAAUCUUAUGAACAGUGACACUAGCUGUUCAUGUGCCACUGCCAGCCAAACCAAAACCCUAGUGAGACAGUGCAAAGUAACUAGGAAAGUGACUUGCAGAUGCACCGCCAAUAAUGACGAAAUCCAGAAUUUUAACAUUUGAUGGUCAUAAUAUAAAAUAAAUUGAUGAUGAUUUUCACUUGUAAUAUUGUCCUUUUCUACAUGUCAAUUAAUCGAAAAUAAAAAACUAUAUCAAUUGAUGAUGCUAAAUAAAUAAAUAUAUACAUGUUCUUUAAUAAGGAAAGGGAUUCCCAUUUUUCAAAAAAAAUUAGAACACCCUCUUGACUGUUAGAUCUGGU
rnacentral:lncRNA from 1 species